rnacentral:misc_RNA from 1 species
CAACCCUUAAGCCCUGCUGCUUAGUGUUGGGAGCCUACCGCGCGGUAGCUCCUCAAAGUCAGUGGCGGAGCCGGUAUCGCACUCCAGACGUAGUAACUAUUCUCGUCUAGUGGUCGGGCCGGUCCCCUGCCGUAAAACACCCCAAUUAUCAAGG